rnacentral:tRNA from 1 species
GGGGAUGUAGCUCAGUGAUAGAGCAUUUGCUUCCUUAGCAUAUGUGAGGCCCUGGGAUCAACCCUCAGUACUGCCA